rnacentral:tRNA from 1 species
GGGGAGGUAGCUAUGGGAAAAGUCUCAUGCUUACAACGUGAGGAUGCCUGUUUGACUCAGGUCCUCUCUA